CCUGGCUCAGAUUGAACGCUGGCGGCGUGCUUAACACAUGCAAGUCGAACGCGAAAGGGGCUUCGGUCCCGAGUAGAGUGGCGCACGGGUGAGUAACGCGUGGAUGAUCUGCCCCUGCAGCUGGAAUAGCGACUGGAAACGGUCGAUAAUACCCGGAUACGCCCUUGUUGAACGAUGAGGGAAAGGAGACCUCUGCUUGCAAGUUUCCGUGCAGGGAUGAGUCCGCGUCCCAGUUAGCUUGUUGGCGGGGUAACGGCCCACCAAGGCGACGAUGGGUAGCCGAUUUGAGAGGAUGAUCGGCCACAUUGGAACUGAAACACGGUCCAAACUCCUACGGGAGGCAGCAGUGGGGAAUAUUGCGCAAUGGGCGAAAGCCUGACGCAGCGACGCCGCGUGAGGGAUGAAGGUUCCUUCGGAUCGUAAACCUCUGUCGGAAGGGAAAAAGGUGCUAGGGUGGCCAAUCAGCCCUGCAUUGAUGGUACCUUCAGAGGAAGCACCCGGCUAACUCCGUGCCAGCCGCAGC
rnacentral:rRNA from 1 species